rnacentral:rRNA from 1 species
UGGGGAAUUUUGGACAAUGGGCGAAAGCCUGAUCCAGCAAUGCCGCGUGUGUGAAGAAGGCCUUCGGGUUGUAAAGCACUUUUGUCCGGAAAGAAAUCCUUGGCUCUAAUACAGUCGGGGGAUGACGGUACCGGAAGAAUAAGCACCGGCUAACUACGUGCCAGCAGCCGCGGUAAUACGUAGGGUGCAAGCGUUAAUCGGAAUUACUGGGCGUAAAGCGUGCGCAGGCGGUUUGCUAAGACCGAUGUGAAAUCCCCGGGCUCAACCUGGGAACUGCAUUGGUGACUGGCAGGCUAGAGUAUGGCAGAGGGGGGUAGAAUUCCACGUGUAGCAGUGAAAAUGCGUAGAGAUGUGGAGGAAUACCGAUGGCGAAAGGCAGCCCCCUGGGCCAAUACUGACGCUCAUGCACGAAAAGCGUGGGGAGCAAAACAGGAUUAGAUACCCUGGUAGUCCACGCCCUAAAACGAUGUC